AUUGAACGCUGGCGGCAGGCCUAACACAUGCGAGUCGAAUGGUAACAGGAAACAGCUUGCUGUUUCGCUGACGAGUGGCGGACGGGUGAGUAAUGUCUGGGAAACUGCCUGAUGGAGGGGGAUAACUACUGGAAACGGUAGCUAAUACCGCAUAACGUCGCAAGACCAAAGAGGGGGACCUUCGGGCCUCUUGCCAUCAGAUGUGCCCAGAUGGGAUUAGCUAGUAGGUGGGGUAACGGCUCACCUAGGCGACGAUCCCUAGCUGGUCUGAGAGGAUGACCAGCCACACUGGAACUGAGACACGGUCCAGACUCCUACGGGAGGCAGCAGUGGGGAAUAUUGCACAAUGGGCGCAAGCCUGAUGCAGCCAGGCCGCGUGUAUGAAGAAGGCCUUCGGGUUGUAAAGUACUUUCAGCGGGGAGGAAGGGAGUAAAGUUAAUACCUUUGCUCAUUGACGUUACCCGCAGAAGAAGCACCGGCUAACUCCGUG
rnacentral:rRNA from 1 species